CUUGAAACCUAUGAGAGGUCCAGCCUGCCCAGUGACUCUGUUCAACGGCCGCGGUAUCCUAACCGUGCGAAGGUAGCGUAAUCACUUGUUCUUUAAAUGAGGACUAGUAUGAAUGGCACCACGAAGGUUAUACUGUCUCCUUUUUCUAAUCAGUGAAACUAAUCUUCCCGUGAAGAAGCGGGAAUAAAAAUAUAAGACGAGAAGACCCUAUGGAGCUUUAAACAAACAUACAAUUGCCUUUUCUCAUAAAAAUUCCAGAAAAAACACCUCUAUUCAGGCACUUUGAUAUAAAGUUUUAGGUUGGGGUGACCACGGAGUAAAAAACAACCUCCGCAGUGAAAGGGGCUUUUCCCCUAAGCCAAGGGCCACGACCCUAAGAAUCAAUAAAUUGACACUAAUUGACCCAAUUAAUUGAUCAAUGAAC
rnacentral:rRNA from 1 species